UAGCGGCAGGCUAACACAUGCAAGUCGAGGGGCAGCGGGUGUAGCAAUACACUGCCGGCGACCGGCGCACGGGUGCGUAACGCGUAUGCAACCUGCCCGCAACAGGGGUAUAACGGAGAGAAAUUUCCACUAAUUCCCCGUAUUGCCGAUUUACCGCAUGGUAUGACGGCGAAAGGAGCGAUCCGGUUGCGGAUGGGCAUGCGUGACAUUAGCUAGUUGGUAAGGUAACGGCUUACCAAGGCGACGAUGUCUAGGGGAGCUGAGAGGCUUAUCCCCCACACUGGUACUGAGACACGGACCAGACUCCUACGGGAGGCAGCAGUGAGGAAUAUUGGUCAAUGGGAGGAAUCCUGAACCAGCCCAUGCCGCGUGCGGGAAGAAGGCCCUACGGGUUGUAAACCGCUUUUGUCCGGGAGUAAUAAGGGGGGUGCGCCCCCCGAUGAGAGUACCGGGCGAAUAAGCAUCGGCUAACUCCGUGCCAGCAGCGGC
rnacentral:rRNA from 1 species